rnacentral:rRNA from 1 species
UACGUAGGUGGCAAGCGUUUGUCCGGAUUUAUUGGGGUUUAAAGGGUGCGUAGGCGGCCCUGUAAGUCAGUGCUGAAAUAUCCCGGCUUAACCGGGAGGGUGGCAUUGAUACUGCGGGGCUAGAGUACAGAUGAGGUAGGCGGAAUUGACGGUGUAGCGGUGAAAUGCUUAGAUAUCGUCAAGAACACCUAUAGCGAAGGCAGCUUACUAGGCUGUAACUGACGCUGAGGCACGAAAGUGUGGGGAUCAAACAGG